rnacentral:rRNA from 1 species
CUAGCGACUUCAGAGUUUGAUCCUGGCUCAGGAUGAACGCUAGCGGCAGGCUUAACACAUGCAAGUCGAGGGGCAGCAUGAAGGUUAGCAAUAACCUUUGAUGGCGACCGGCGCAAGGGUGCGUAACGCGUGAGCAACUUGCCCGUUUCAGGGGGAUAACCGGUGGAAACGCCGACUAAUACCCCAUAGCAUCACUUUAAGGCAUCUUUUAGUGAUUAAAGAAAUUCGGAAACGGAUAGGCUCGCGUGACAUUAGCUAGAUGGCGGGGUAACGGCCCACCAUGGCGACGAUGUCUAGGGGUUCUGAGAGGAAGGUCCCCCACACUGGAACUGAGACACGGUCCAG